AGUGAACGCUGGCGGUAGGCCUAACACAUGCAAGUCGAACGGCAGCACAGUAAGAGCUUGCUCUUACGGGUGGCGAGUGGCGGACGGGUGAGGAAUACAUCGGAAUCUACUUUUUCGUGGGUGAUAACGUAGGGAAACUUACGCUAAUACCGCAUACGACCUACGGGUGAAAGCAGGGGAUCUUCUGACCUUGCGCGAUUGAAUGAGCCGAUGUCGGAUUAGCUAGUUGGCGGGGUAAAGGCCCACCAAGGCGACGAUCCGUAGCUGGUCUGAGAGGAUGAUCAGCCACACUGGAACUGAGACACGGUCCAGACUCCUACGGGAGGCAGCAGUGGGGAAUAUUGGACAAUGGGCGCAAGCCUGAUACAGCAAUACCGCGUGGGUGAAGAAGGACUUCGGGUUGUAAAGCCCUUUUGUUGGGAAAGAAAAGCAGCAGGUUAAUACCCCGCUGUUCUGACGGUACCGAAAGAAUAAGCACCGGCUAACUUCGUG
rnacentral:rRNA from 1 species